rnacentral:rRNA from 1 species
CAAUAGCGUAUACUAACGUUGUUGCAGUUAAAAGCUCGUAGUUGGAUUUCUGUUACGAUGAGCCGGCCGGCCCUUCGGGGUUGUAGCUAGGUUUCGUGGUAGCAUCUUGGCGCAAUCGCCGCUGGCAUUCGUUUGUUGGCGUGCGGGACCGCCUCGUUUACUUUGAGAAAAUUUGAGUGUUCAAAGCGGGCUAUCGCCUUGAAAAUAUUAGCAUGGAAUAAUGAUAUAGGACUUUUGGUUCUAUUUUGUUGGUGUUCGAGAACCAAAGUAAUGAUUGAUAGGGACAGUUGGGGGCAUCAGUAUUCUGAAGCGAGAGGUGAAAUUCUUGGACCUUCGGAAGACUAACAGCUGCGAAAGCGUUUGCCUAGGAUGUUCUCUUUAAUCAAGAACGAAGGUUGGGGGAGUCGAAGACGAUCAGAUACCAU